rnacentral:rRNA from 1 species
UACAGAGGGUGCGAGCGUUGUCCGGAAUCACUGGGCGUAAAGGGUGCGUAGGCGGUUUGGUGCGUCGGCGCUGAAAUCCGUGGGCUUAACCCACGGGCGCGUGCCGAUACGACUUGACUUGAGGCUCGGAGAGGGUGGGAGAACUCCUGGUGUAGUGGUGAAAUGCGUAGAGAUCAGGAAGAAUACCUGUCGGCGCAAGCGCCCACCCUGGCCGA